rnacentral:rRNA from 2 species
CAACGGAUAAAAGCUACCCCGGGGAUAACAGGCUUAUCUCCCCCAAGAGUCCACAUCGACGGGGAGGUUUGGCACCUCGAUGUCGGCUCAUCGCAUCCUGGGGCUGUAGUCGGUCCCAAGGGUUGGGCUGUUCGCCCAUUAAAGCGGUACGCGAGCUGGGUUCAGAACGUCGUGAGACAGUUCGGUCCCUAUCCGUCGUGGGCGUAGGAAAUUUGAGAGGAGCUGUCCUUAGUACGAGAGGACCGGGAUGGACACACCGCUGGUGUACCAGUUGUCUUGCCAAAGGCAUCGCUGGGUAGCUAUGUGUGGACGGGAUAAGUGCUGAAAGCAUCUAAGCAUGAAGCCCCCCUCAAGAUGAGAUUUCCCAUAGCGCAAGCUAGUAAGAUCCCUGAAAGAUGAUCAGGUUGAUAGGUCAGAGGUGGAAGCGUGGCGACAUGUGUAGCUGACUGAUACUAAUCGAUCGAGGACUUAACCAAAC